rnacentral:rRNA from 1 species
UGGGGAAUUUUGGACAAUGGGCGCAAGCCUGAUCCAGCAAUGCCGCGUGCAGGAUGAAGGCCUUCGGGUUGUAAACUGCUUUUGUACGGAACGAAAAGCCCUUCUCUAAUACAGAGGGGUCAUGACGGUACCGUAAGAAUAAGCACCGGCUAACUACGUGCCAGCAGCCGCGGUAAUACGUAGGGCGCAAGCGUUAAUCGGAAUUACUGGGCGUAAAGCGUGCGCAGGCGGUUUUGUAAGACAGAGGUGAAAUCCCCGGGCUCAACCUGGGAAUUGCCUUUGUGACUGCAAGGCUUGAGUGCGGCAGAGGGGGAUGGAAUUCCGCGUGUAGCAGUGAAAUGCGUAGAUAUGUGGAGGAACACCGAUGGCGAAGGCAGCCCCCUGGGAUAACACUGACGCUCAUGCACGAAAGCGUGGGGAGCAAACA